rnacentral:rRNA from 1 species
AUCCAGAGAUGGAUUUGUGCCUUCGGGAGCCGUGAGACAGGUGCUGCAUGGCUGUCGUCAGCUCGUGUUGUGAAAUGUUGGGUUAAGUCCCGCAACGAGCGCAACCCUUAUCCUUUGUUGCCAGCGGUCCGGCCGGGAACUCAAAGGAGACUGCCAGUGAUAAACUGGAGGAAGGUGGGGAUGACGUCAAGUCAUCAUGGCCCUUACGACCAGGGCUACACACGUGCUACAAUGGCGCAUACAAAGAGAAGCGACCUCGCGAGAGCAAGCGGACCUCAUAAAGUGCGUCGUAGUCCGGAUUGGAGUCUGCAACUCGACUCCAUGAAGUCGGAAUCGCUAGUAAUCGUGGAUCAGAAUGCCACGGUGAAUACGUUCCCGGGCCUUGUACACACCGCCCGUCACACCAUGGGAGUGGGUUGCAAAAGAAGUAGGUAGCUUAACCUUCGGGAGGGCGCUUACCACUUUGUGAUUCAUGACUGGGGUGAAGUCGUAACAAGGUAACCGUAGGGGAACCUGC